UUGACCUCGGAUCAGGUAGGGAUACCCGCUGAACUUAAGCAUAUCAAUAAGCGGAGGAGCA
rnacentral:rRNA from 1 species